GACGAACGCUGGCGGCGUGCUUAACACAUGCAAGUCGAACGGAAAGGCCCUGCUUUUGUGGGGUGCUCGAGUGGCGAACGGGUGAGUAACACGUGAGUAACCUGCCCUUGACUUUGGGAUAACUUCAGGAAACUGGGGCUAAUACCGGAUAGGAGCUCCUGCUGCAUGGUGGGGGUUGGAAAGUUUCGGCGGUUGGGGAUGGACUCGCGGCUUAUCAGCUUGUUGGUGGGGUAGUGGCUUACCACGGCUUUGACGGGUAGCCGGCCUGAGAGGGUGACCGGCCACAAUGGGACUGAGAUACGGCCCAGACGCCUACGGGAGGCAGCAGUGGGGAAUAUUGCACAAUGGGCGGAAGCCUGAUGCAGCAACGCCGCGUGCGGGAUGCCGUCCUUCGGGUUGUGAACCGCUGUCGCCUGUGACGAAGCGUGAGUGACGGUAAUGGGUAAAGAAGCACCGGCUAACUACGUG
rnacentral:rRNA from 1 species